AGUGGCUCGGUGCCUGCCGCUCCUGCCCUGACACACAACAAGCUGAGAGCCUGGCCAGCCCGUGGCAGCCAAGACAAUGUUGCCAGCAUGGCAGUGGGGAGCUGCAAAAAGGCCCUGAUCCAGAGAGGGUCUCAUUGGAGCUGUCGGCAGUCUUGCCCAGCGGCUCCCCGGUGGAGUCAAGGCUCUCCCUCCCACCUGAGGGAGCCAUGUUGUGACCCAUUCCCGGCUCUUCCUGGUUGGCGCAGCCCUCAAAGGCAGCAGAGUGAUGUAGCUAAGAAGAAGGAAACCAGAAAUUCACAGAGAAGAGCACAGAAAAUGGGAAAAACAGCACAGAACAUACUCUGAAAAGAGCAGUUGAGAAGUAGACCAAGAAGACCGAGGGACAACGUGAGGUUCAGUAAAAUUUACAACUCAUAGCCCAGAACCUCCGGAAGACUUCUUUAAUGUCUGUGAACCGACUGCUGUCACUGAGCCAUGGAGAUGUAACCAUCCGUCUACCUGCGUCAUGUGGUGAUCCCAGGGAAAUGGAGACCUUGCUAAUGGAGGAUGCUUAUGGUAAACAAACAGUGUGAAAACCGUGGGCCGUUGGAUCUGGAAGAAAGCAGAUCCUAUGAGCCACCUUCUUGCUUCGAGUGAAUGAGGCUCAUAGCCUUGAAGAGAACCCGCCUCACUAGUAAAUUGGUUGAGCUAUGAAUAGCAUUAACCAAUGGCCGAAGGAGAGCAGAAGUUCAUUUUGCAUGCAUUUAAAGGAAUAGAAGUAGCAGUUGAGGAUUACUUGACUGUCCCAUUAUGAAAUGAAUGACCUGUGUUCACCUUGAUGAUGGAGGAAAGCAGGAAGAAAUGAGAGGGGUAAUUAUUUUACGACCACUGAAACUGUCACAGUUCAAGACGUUCUAAGGUUUCCUCUGUUCCAUGUCUGAAGAUGUCUCCCUCUGAAUUCAAACCCUGACUGAGGUAGCUCUGCAGGUAAGAGUCCUUGCCUGUUGACCUGAGUUCAAUCCCCGGAACUGCCAUAGAGGUAUAAAGAGAGUACUGACCCUUCUCCACACAUGCUCCCCACGACGUGUAUUCAGACGCCAUCACCACCACCACCACCAUCACCAUCACCACCAUCACCAUCACCACCACCACCACCGCUACUGCUACUUCUAGUCCCCAAAGAGCUCUAGUUGUGGAUGUUCUGUCACAUCUGGAAGAUACGAUCUCACGUCAGACUUCCUGAUCCUCUGACUCUUGCAGUCAUCCUGCUCCCUCUUCAGAGAUGUUCCCAGCAGGGGGAUGUGUUGUGAUGAAAUCUCAACAAUAUGCUCAGCUGAAUAAAACCCAAACGAUGACAGCAUCAACUGACAUAAUCAAGUGGAAGGGGAAAUCUCGUGGGGCCUCUGCCAUGGAUGAAGAGCUACAGGCUCUUCAACUGACAACGGCUGAGAGAGGGAGAAUUGGUCUUUCGUAGGGUUGAGCCCUCUGGAUGAUUAUGCAAGGCCAAGUGAUCAGCCCUAAAACUACAUAUAUAAAAGCAACACUUCAGAGACUUAGCAGGAUGUAUUUAUAUACUUAUUCACUUGUAUGUAUAUGUAACGAUAAUAAUUAAAGAGUUAAGAGUCCAUGAACUUGAAAGGGAGCUGGGAGGGCGAGAGGAGGUGGAGGGAGGAAAGUGAUCUAAUGAUAUAUUAAUGUUGAAAAGGCUCUGGCUGGGUGACUUUUUGGUGACUUAUCAUAUUGAACCUCAUUUCUUUAUAGUACCAUUAAAAACCAUGAGGAGCGUGGACACUGGCUACCCCUUCACAACCUUGCAUGCUGUCGCUUAAUUAUGUUCCCUCGUGAUACUAUGCUGCCCUCACCAGUGGGACUAUAAUAUUUCCCUUUGUCUUGUAAGCACUGAAGGUGGAGUAUUCAUCAUAUCCAAAUAAAAUUGAUUCAGUAUC